AAAGGAAUUGACGGGGGCCCGCACAAGCAGUGGAUUAUGUGGUUUAAUUCGACGCAACGCGAAGAACCUUACCAGGUCUUGACAUACCACGAGUAGCAUGGAGACAUGUGAUGCCUUUCGGGGCGUGGAUACAGGUGGUGCAUGGUUGUCGUCAGCUCGUGUCGUGAGAUGUUGGGUUAAGUCCCGCAACGAGCGCAACCCUUACUAUUAGUUGCUACGGAAGAGCACUCUAAUGGGACUGCCGUUGACAAAACGGAGGAAGGUGGGGAUGAUGUCAAAUCAUCAUGCCCUUUAUGACCUGGGCUACACACGUAAUACAAUGGCACUUAACAGAGGGAAGCGAAGGAGCGAUUCGGAGCAAACCCCCAAAAAGUGUCUCAGUUCGGAUUGCAGGCUGCAACUCGCCUGCAUGAAGUCGGAAUUGCUAGUAAUCGCGGAUCAUCAUGCCGCGGUGAAUACGUUCCCGGGCCUUGUACACACCGCCCGU
rnacentral:rRNA from 1 species